CGGGGGGGGCAAGCGUUGUUCGGAAUUACUGGGCGUAAAGGGCGCGUAGGCGGUUUGCUAAGUUGGAUGUGAAAACUCUGGGCUUAACCCAGAGCCUGCAUCCAAAACUGGCAAACUUGAGUACUGGAGGGGAAAGCGGAAUUCCUGGUGUAGCGGUGAAAUGCGUAGAUAUCAGGAGGAACACCGGUGGCGAAGGCGGCUUUCUGGACAGUAACUGACGCUGAGGCGCGAAAGCUAGGGGAGCAAACAGGAUUAGAUACCCUGGUAGUCCUAGCCCUAAACGAUGGAUACUUGGUGUGAGGGGGAUUGAAUCCCUUCGUGCCGUAGCUAACGCAAUAAGUAUCCCGCCUGGGGAGUACGGUCGCAAGGCUG
rnacentral:rRNA from 1 species